rnacentral:tRNA from 1 species
AGCUUUAUAGUCAAUAUAUGAUUUUGGAUUGCAAGUCUAAAGUAGUAGUAACUUACUAAAGCUU